rnacentral:rRNA from 1 species
GACGAACCGAGCGAACGUUAUUCGGAAUCACUGGGCUUAAAGGGUGCGUAGGCGGGCGAGUAAGUCAGGGGUGAAAUCCCACGGCCCAACCGUGGAAGUGCCUCUGAUACUGCGAGUCUAGAGGGGGACAGGGGCAUGCGGAACUUCCGGUGGAGCGGUGAAAUGCGUAGAUAUCGGAAGGAACACCGGUGGCGAAAGCGGCGUGCUGGAUCCCUACUGACGCUGAGGCACGAAAGCCAGGGAGCAAACGGGG